rnacentral:ncRNA from 2 species
UGCAGAAAAAGGCAAACCUAUUGAAAGAUAGGGACGCAAAGUCACGGGUCUAAGGGUGGAAUAAUGCUAUGGCGGCCGGUCUGCCUGA